GUCCUGAAUGAGUGAGUUGACAGACUUCGACAGAGGCCAAAUAGUUGGUGCACAAGUUGCAGGUCUGUCGGUCAGUAAAACGUCCCAAUUAUGUGACGUGUCAAGUGGUGCUCCUUGGGGGAGCCCGGGGCCACCAGGUCAUCUAAAGAGGGGUGCACCGGCCCAGGUCGGACACGGAGCAGGUCAAAGCCCCCGUGCCGCUCAGUAGUGGGAUCGCGCCUGUGAAUAGACGCUGUAGUGCAGCCUGAGUAACACAGCGGGACCCAGUCUUUU
rnacentral:SRP_RNA from 1 species